AUUUGAGUUCACGGUGUACCUUG
rnacentral:miRNA from 1 species